GCCCAAGCCAGAGCCCAAAGUUGUGGAGGAACUCUUGAGCAAGGUGGAAAAUCCUGUCAAGACGACCACUUCCGAUUGGAGCAAUGAUUUUGGUGUCGACUUAUACGAGGACCCGCAAACUUCAAAGGCCCAACAAGUUCCGCAAGCUACUGUUCCUGUGGCUGAUGCCGCGGCUAAAGCCGAGGAAGAGGCAAAGAUCAAAGCGUUUUGCGACGCGUCGGCCUCUGAGUGG